AUGAAGACAUUAUUGGUGAAAAAACAAAAAACAAAUAGUGGACAAGAAAUAAUAGUCACCACAAUCAUCUUUUUCAACCUAACACAAUUCAGAAUAAUACAUAAGCAAUUUUUACAUUUUUAAUCUUACAAUCAUCUUUUAUUCUACCAUACUGUCAAAUACUUGUGAAAAUAAAUAAAAAUAAAAUACAUGAUGCAUAGGAAGAUUUUUUUUAAAACUGAACUAUUGCACAAAUCAAUGUGAGAAUAUGCAAGUAAUAUAAAAAUGCAUUUAAAUAUAUUGUCACAACAUAUUUCGUAAGUCAUAAAUCUAUUUCACCUACUGUUUAUAAUCUCUGGGCUCUGGAACUAGAUGAUUUCUUACCAACUCAUCUCCAUGUGGUACAUUAUAACAUUAAUUUACUACUGUAAAAUUCAGUGAGAAACAAAUGUGUGCCAAUUAUUUAUCUAUCCUUUCCUUGAGCAGACAAAAAGAAUUAUGUGGUCUUAAAAAAAUACUUGACAAAAAAACAGUGCUCAGUAUUAGAUAAAACAAGUUUAAAGUUCUUUAUAUGAUUUAUAACAGAAGUGAUUUAAAUGGAAAUCUAAUAUAUGCAUUCAUCUUCUAAAUUCAUUACAGCUUAUUUUAGUUGAUGGACUAUUUGUUUCUUUGUUUUGACCAAUAAGACUGAAUAAAGAUAACUGAGGGGAAAAAAAUUAACAACUAAUCAGGAAAUAAACUUUUUUCGGAUUUAUGAAAUAAUUUGUUGACAUGCUCUACAGGAGUGACCUUAACAUACCUAAUGGUAACUAAAACUGUUCUCUUUAAUUACAAAAUUCCCAGCAUCUAUCCUACUAUGAUACUAUCUGAAGAUAGGCACCAAUAAUACAAAUGUUUAUCCAAAUUUUUUGCUCAAAGUUAUACUUAUCCUAAAGCUUGAAGGGCUAAGCACUAGAGUAUGAGAGUUUGUGGAAAUGUACUUAACGUGCUUUAACAACAACAGAAAAGUAACACCUAAAUUAAUUGUUCCAUUUGAAAUUAUUUUCUGACAGAUAAGUGAAUAUUUCCUUGAAUGACACAGUCUGGGGUAUCAGAUAUUUAUUAUAUACAGUAUAUGUACACAUAUAAACAUACACACAUUAUAUAGCCAAAAGAUUACACUUCAAAAUUAACUGGAAAUGGUAUUUCGAGUAUUUUUAGCACAAACUAACUAGAGGAUGUGCUCUAGCUGUC
rnacentral:lncRNA from 1 species